ACCCUGUCAACGGGUCCUGUACGCGUGGGUGUGUUGUAGGGCGUUGGUCAAACAAUUGUAACAAACUUUGUGAUGAGGGUUGUCAUUCAUGUAGACAAACAGAUGGCAUUUGUGAAUCACAGAACUGUACGAAGUCUCGAUUUGGGGAUGACCGUUGCUUGACUAACUGUACUAAGACUUGCAAAAAUGUAAACGGUACAGUACAAAACAUCAGUCGAAGUGACAAGUGGGGCGUAAAAACUUAUCUACUGGUUGUUGGCGUACCCAUAGCCUGUAUCAUAUUUACAAUGGGCAUUGUUACGCCGUUGGUUUUCAACUGUAUAAAGAAAAAGAGGAAACAGUACGUCCCUUCACUGUACAGAACAAGACGUUCAAGAGACGUUAUUUUCGUUGGUGAAAUAAAUAGUGACGCUUACGCAGAAAUCAUUGAAGAUGAUAUGUGCUCAUACACGUUUUUAGAAAACAGCGACACAACGAAAGAUAUAACCCCAGUUUCAUACAUGACGGUACCUUUUGAUGAAGGCAUUUCUUGCAAUGCAACUUUUGACGAUUCAAUGCCAACUUAUCAAAGUUUGGAAGAGUAUGUAGCACAAGAUGAUUUAAAUCGUUCUCAGAUUUCAACUAUGAACGGGGAAUAUUUGACCGUAGUACACGAGUGGCCAACAGAACCUAAAACCACCAUAUAAGGAGUACCCAGGGUCUUUUCUGCAAUAACAAGGCAAAGCACAUCUAAAUCGUUAGCCAGACUUCAUGGGUAAUGCUUGUGGUAGUUGUUUUCUCACUACCCUGAAGAAUGCCCUGCUUCAAGACUAUAUCUCCUUUGUGCUAAGCAGCAGUUCAGCAAUUAUUAAUAUUUCUCUAUCUUCUGUGACACCAUCCUACUGACUUUCCCCUGGACCCACCAAAAAUUCCAGUUCCCACCAAAUAUAUUUAGUGAACGAAAUUUGAACACCAAAAUUAAUGAGGAAAGGACAUUUAUUCCGUACAUUUAUGAAAAGUUGACUGUAAAAUGUAUUCUUUAACUUCAAUUGUUGAUUGAGUUGUUUAUAAUUUAUUUAUUAUUUAUGUCAUAUAAUACAUUUUGUUAGCUUUUAAUUGUGUAUAUUGACAUCUGCAUCUCCGAGUUUUAUCAGUUAAAGUGAUUACAUGCUUCAGUUUUGCAUUCAAAGCAAGCCAAAGUCCUCCAAGGGGCUUCCUGUUUGCUUUGUAUUUGAAAGGUCCUAAGCUGUCAACUUUGUUAUCAAAGGUCAAUACUGUUAAUACAAAUUGUAUUGUUAUUUAUAAUUCUUUUCACUUCCGGAAAGUUUAGCAUGUUUACCAAAGAUGGACA